UGCUGACGUCAGGGCCGCCAGAGAGGUAUUAGGCGUCAGGGCACUGGUUGUAGUACUCAGUUGUCGAAAAGUGAAGUAUGUCAGUUUGCGGAUGAUUGAUUGUGCAUCAUGAUCAGACAAUCCAUUUAUUAUAGGCCUUGGAGAAUAAUUUCCCUUCUAGUAAUAUCGAUGAAAAUAUUAUCAAUGGCUGUAGCAGAAUUUCCUUGAACUCUGGCGGAAAAAUUGAUUGUCUAUGGUAUGGUCAGGAAGAGUUGGGAUAUCCUGCGCUAUUGAUCCUGCUAGAAUGCUGCACUAUAAAUUUUGGUGCAGUAGUAGAAAGUGAUUUCACUACAGCUGAACAGAUUCGCAGUUCCGUGUAGAUCAGAUUCUGCAGCACAGUCACACCCACAACCUCCUGAUCCUUCAUUACACACCAUUUCAGGAGGGUGCUGGAGUGAAUACCUGGCAACAGCUGUGUUUAUUGAAGAGGUUGACAAACUCUUUGAGAGCUUAAAUAGUGGAAAGCACUGUGUUGCCCACUAAGUGAUAACAGUCUGCAAUAUAGAACACCGGUUAUCCACUUCAGCAUGAAACGCUGAGAAGCAGGAUCAAUAUCAGGAUUCAGUACUCUUCUAUUUCAAUGGGGGCCAACCACUGCAAAGUGUUUUGACAGUAAUUUUUCAAAUCCUGGCAGAAGACUUGAAUGUUCGCUUCAUGAUCUUCAGCUCAAUGGUCAUCCCAAAGGUCCUGCUGGAUCCCUUCCUCAGAUUUAGAAACUGCCCUGUGCACUGCUUCCCAAAGCAAGAGAUGAUGUACCUAGAUAUGAGAAUGAACUGUCAGAGUAGGGUAGUGAACCACAUUCCCAGAGAAAGCACGAGAAGGGGGAAAUCAUGAGUGCCCUGUAGAAAGAGUUACAUGUCCAGAGAGGAGGAGGCGGCAAAGAUACUGUUCCAAAGGAUGCUGUCAUGAUAAAGGAUAGCUGGUGUCUGGGCCAAGAAUGAAAACUUAAUCUUUGAAGUACAAAGCUAGCCCCUUAGCUGCUAGUUUGGAAUGAGGAUAAAAAUGCUGUGCUUCCAGAAAGGCAAAGAAUUAAACUCUACUACGUUAGAAAAAUCAUGGAAUUCUAGGCAUUUUUCACUCAAUUCAGAAAAAAUUUGGACCCAUCUGUCAUACAGCAACAUUUUCUUGAUUCCAUGCAUCCAACCGCCUCGCAACUGUAGGUUUUAUGAGGGACCACUGACCAAAUACGCGAACUUCAUCUGUUCCAGUUCUGGUAAUAAAUUCCUCAUUCAGACUCGUGAAUUUCUUUCCAUACAGGUAUCUUCCUCAGCAACGCCCACUUCUGUUUUUCGUAAGUUACAUUUCCACUUUUUUUACAUGAUCCAAGCUGGUUUCAAAGAAAUUAUGAACUACAAAAACUUAACUGAGUAAUUUCCCCUGAAUCUACCAACUUUCAGUUGCUUUUUGACAUCAAUUGUGAAAAGUUCACAUUUUCUGGAUUCUAAAUUGUUAACUAGGCUGUCUAUGUUCAUGGCUACUUCUGUAGCUGAAAUUUUAUA